rnacentral:rRNA from 1 species
UACAGAGGGGGCAAGCGUUGUUCGGAAUUACUGGGCGUAAAGGGCGCGUAGGCGGCCCGCUAAGUCGAACGUGAAAUCCCCGGGCUCAACCCGGGAACUGCGUCCGAUACUGGCAGGCUUGAAUCCGGGAGAGGGAUGCGGAAUUCCAGGUGUAGCGGUGAAAUGCGUAGAUAUCUGGAGGAACACCGGUGGCGAAGGCGGCAUCCUGGACCGGUAUUGACGCUGAGGCGCGAAAGCCAGGGGAGCAAAGCGGG